GGAAUCUUCCACAAUGGGCGCAAGCCUGAUGGAGCAACGCCGCGUGAGUGAAGAAGGGUUUCGGCUCGUAAAGCUCUGUUGUUAAAGAAGAACGUGGGUAAGAGUAACUGUUUACCCAGUGACGGUAUUUAACCAGAAAGCCACGGCUAACUACGUGCCAG
rnacentral:rRNA from 1 species